UACAGAGGGUGCGAGCGUUGUCCGGAAUCACUGGGCGUAAAGGGCGCGUAGGUGGCGGCCCAAGUCCGUGGUGAAAGCUCGCCGCUUAACGGCGAGUCGGCCACGGAGACUGGGUGGCUCGAGCACUGUAGGGGCAGAUGGAAUUCCGGGUGUAGCGGUGGAAUGCGUAGAGAUCCGGAAGAACACCAGUGGCGAAGGCGGUCUGCUGGGCAGUUGCUGACACUGAUGCGCGACAGCGUGGGGAUCAAACAGG
rnacentral:rRNA from 1 species